rnacentral:rRNA from 1 species
UACGUAGGGGGCAAGCGUUGUCCGGAUUUAUUGGGCGUAAAGAGCGUGUAGGCGGUUAGGUAGGUCCGUUGUGAAAACUCGAGGCUCAACCUCGAGACGCCGAUGGAAACCAUCUAACUAGAGUCCGGAAGAGGAGAGUGGAAUUCCUGGUGUAGCGGUGAAAUGCGCAGAUAUCAGGAAGAACACCCGUGGCUAAGGCGGCUCUCUAGUACGGUACUGACGCUGAGACGCGAAAGCGUGGGGAGCGAGCAGG